UACGUAGGGGGCUAGCGUUGUCCGGAAUCAUUGGGCGUAAAGAGCGUGUAGGCGGCCCGGUAAGUCCGCUGUGAAAGUCGGGGGGCUCAACCCUCGAAUGCCGGUGGAUACUGUCGGGCUAGAGUGCGGAAGAGGCGAGUGGAAUUCCUGGUGUAGCGGUGAAAUGCGCAGAUAUCGGGAGGAACACCAGUAGCGAAGGCGGCUCGCUGGGCCGUUCCUGACGCUGAGACGCGAAAAGCUAGGGGAGCGAACAGG
rnacentral:rRNA from 1 species